rnacentral:rRNA from 1 species
AGCCGCGGUAAUACGUAGGUGGCAAGCGUUGUCCGGAAUUAUUGGGCGUAAAGCGCGCGCAGGUGGUUCCUUAAGUCUGAUGUGAAAGCCCCCGGCUCAACCGGGGAGGGUCAUUGGAAACUGGGGAACUUGAGUGCAGAAGAGAAGAGUGGAAUUCCACGUGUAGCGGUGAAAUGCGUAGAGAUGUGGAGGAACACCAGUGGCGAAGGCGACUCUUUGGUCUGUAACUGACGCUGAGGCGCGAAAGCGUGGGGAGCAAACAGGAUUAGAUACCCUGGUAGUCCACGCCGUAAACGAUGAGUGCUAAGUGUUAGAGGGUUUCCGCCCUUUAGUGCUGCAGCAAACGCAUUAAGCACUCCGCCUGGGGAGUACGGCCGCAAGGCUGAAACUCAAAGGAAUUGACGG